CCUACGGGAGGCAGCAGUGAGGAAUAUUGGUCAAUGGCCGUAAGGCUGAACCAGCCAAGUCGCGUGAAGGAAGAAGGAUCUAUGGUUUGUAAACUUCUUUUAUAGGGGAAUAAAGGUAUCCACGUGUGGAUAUUUGCAUGUAACCUAUGAAUAAGCAUCGGCUAACUCCGUGCCAGCAGCCGCGGUAAUACGGAGGAUGCGAGCGUUAUCCGGAUUUAGUGGGUUUAAAGGGUGCGUAGGUGGUUUUUUAAGUCAGCGGUGAAAGUUUGUGGCUCAACCAUAAAAUUGCCGUUGAAACUGGAAGACUUGAGUGUGUUUGAGGUAGGCGGAAUGCGUGGUGUAGCGGUGAAAUGCAUAGAUAUCACGCAGAACUCCGAUUGCGAAGGCAGCUUACUAAGCCAUAACUGACACUGAAGCACGAAAGCGUGGGGAUCAAACAGGAUUAGAUACCCCGGUAGUC
rnacentral:rRNA from 1 species